CUACCGCAUUUAAACCCUUGACUCAACACUGCUUAUGAGUCAGAUCGCAAGGCCCAUUCCAUGAUCUACCUGAAAAAUCUGCCUUUUCUAUCACUCUCUGCGUUCCCAAAUAAAGCCUAAUUUUUCCAUUCUUACUCCGCAGCUUCAAGAAGUUUAACAGCAAUGCACAAUGAGGGCAAUCCAGGGGAAUGUAGUCACUGUAAAUCCUUUGGAUCCUGGUAGUGCUUCUACACAUCAAAAUGUCGCCCAUGUACAGUCGCAAUUUCAUGUUAUGUAUGUCAAAAUAUCCAAGCUAUGUACUUUCUUAUCAGUAUGGGAGUGUAUGGGAGUUUUGGCUAAUGCUUUAUAAGUUUCUAUAGCUAGUUGAAGGGAAAUGGGGAUUUUGGACAAUUGGUUUUCUUUUUGCAAUGUGCUUUCCUGUUUGGUUUGAUUUUCUUUACUAAGCAUUUUUGUUUUGUUAUGUCUUAAUAUGCAUUGGAGACAAUUGUUACAGCCACAGCUCCCAAGCAAACAGAACCAUCAGUUGCACCGAGAAGCUCUCAAGCUGUUCCAAUAGCUCCAGCUUCUCAGUCUGUCUCCUGACACAAGAGCACUCAAUACUCCUGUAAAAGAUAAGUUGAUAAUGUGGAACGGUGGAUUUUCAUGUCAUUGAUGUUGGGGAAUGGGGAGGAUUUAGCAUAUUUUCAGUAUGUUGAAACAAUGGGACUAUAUAUGGAAAUUUUUAAUUCAAUCUACAUUGGUACAUGCAUCAAAGGAACAGUGUAGUAAUGCACUUCACACACACAAGAAAACUUUGAAGAUGAAAAAAGGGUAGAUCACAACUAUUAAUGUUCUUAAUUUUAUUUCCAAUGGUUCAGGCCCAAGGGAUGCGUCCAAGGGAUUUUCCUUUCAGUCUGGGUUCACAAGUCCUGGUUUGAUGAAUGGGAUGCAGAUUCCUGCUCGAGCUAGCUCAGUUCCCCCAACUUUGGAUGAGCAGAAACACGAUCAGGCACGGCUUGAGUCCUUUAGACCUGCACCGUCAUUGCCAAGCACUGCAGUUCCUAUGCAGCUACCAAGGAAAGAUCAACCUUCUGUCGACCAAUCUAGUGCUGCUAAGGCUCAUCUGCAACCCAAGGCCAAAAAGGAUGUGCAAGUCUCACCUACAACGACUGCUAGCCAAAGUCAGAAACCUUCUGGUCCUCCAAUGCAUGGGAUCCUUAUGACGUCAAUGCCAUUUCAUCAGCCACAGGUUUCUGUGCAAUUUGGUGGCCUCAACCAGCAGAUUCUUUUUUUUUGGUCUGAAAUUCAUCUAUUGAUAGCCUCAAAAAGCAUACAACCAAAAACACAGAACAACAAAAGUUCCAAUGUCUAUGACAAAGAAGCCAAGACACAAUAGGUAAAAAUACUAGUACUGAGGAGGGCCAGGAAGACCAUCACUAGUGAGAACCAAUUGCAUGGACCAACCAGCAGAUUCAGUCACUCUUGUUUGACUGCCAAUUCCUAUUCCACUACCAAUAGGUAGCACUUAAGUACAGUUUCAGGUUUACAACCCCAUCCCAUGCAGCUUCCUGGAGUUAUGCAUCAAAAAGUGAACCUGAGUUUUUCCCCCCAAACGGGUCCUCAGCUCCCUCAGUUGGGCAACUUGGGGAUCAGCAUAGCUGCACAAUAACGCCAACAGCAAGGUGGAAAGUUUGCUGGCCCUCGUAAAACUCCUGUCAAGAUUACACAUCCAGGUACACAUGAAGAGUUAAGGCUUGAUAAACGGGCAGAUUCAUAUCCAGAUGGUGGCUUAUCAGCCGCCAGGACUUACCCCAAUGUUUCUCAGUCCCAGCCCAUGCCUUCGUUUGCGAGUUCUCAUCCUACAACCUAUUAUACCAAUCCUAAUCCCCUGUUUUUUCCAUCUCUGAAUUCACAUCCUUUAACAAGUAGUCACAAGUCACCCAGUUCACAAGCACCAGAUUUAGCUAUCCAGUGAGCCAGAGUCUACCCAAAGUAUACCUUUCAAAAAUCUGUCAGCUCACAAUUUCCUGCCUGUCACCAAGUCUGGGCUCCCUAUGCACAGUGAAUUCUCAAAGCCUUGAAGGCCAGCUGGAGAAGUUAUGUCAUCUCAUCCUCAAGGUUUCCUAUCAGUGACCCAUUAGUUAACAAAUCAUUGCCGUCUGCAGCAAAAGUAUCAGCAGUUCUUUAUCCUGUAGUCAGUCAACUGCAGAAAGAAACCAGGAAAGGAAGGGAGUAUUCAACCACAGCAUCAGGUUGCUGGGCAAUCUAGUACUACACCAAGCUUUCCUUCUCAGACUUCAGAACAUGGUAUAUCUUCUAGUGUUGGUGUUUCUGAAACUGUAGAGGGUAAUACAGCUGCUGUUCCAGAAAGUAUUGAAUCUUUUUCAGAAUUGGCCAGGGAAUCACUCUCAAAUGUUAGCACGGCCACUAUUGUUUCUGACUUGAAGGCUGAAACAGUUUUGAGAAGGUGCCAUCUCCUUCUGAAUUACUUGGUGUUGGGACUGCUGUCAAUACUUUUGCUGUUGUUCAUCAUAGUCAACUAGGCAAUUUUCGCUGCUGCAUGAACAAGGAAAGCAUGAAUUGGUGGGAGCAGAAACCAGUCUGAACAAAGCUUGGUCGAAGGAUACAAACGGGAUGCUAAUAGUCCUAGUAUUACUUCAGAAUCUACCCCUGUGAAAAGUCUGGAAUCUGUUGACAAAGCAGCAGAGCAGUCUGUGGCAAAGGAAACCACUAAAGGCAAUGUUAUUGCAACUUCUGAAACUGCACAAGGAGGCAAAGAUCAACAUAUCAGGUGCAAUACAGAAUUAGAUGAGAGGAUGCCUCUCCUAGCAGAAGUGGUAGCAUGGGUAAUAAUGAAGUUGCUUCCUUAAAACCCAGUCGACCAGAUCAGCCCUCUGUUCCUUUUCAAUCUAGAGAAUUUUCAGGUACUAGUUCAAAGCAUAAAGGAUAUUGGUAAUGGUAGUGAUUCGCUUACAGUGUCAUGUUCCAAGGAUAAACCUCUUCCCAAACUGAGUAUAACUAGGAGUACUAUUUCAAAAGGGAAGAAGAAGAGAAAAUAAAUUUCUUUUAAGGCUGAUCCUGCUGGGGUAACAUCUGAUCAAUAUGGGGCUUAUAAGAACCCUGAAGACAAGAAAGAUAUAGCAUCUUCUGAAAGCACUUCUACUAGCAUAAUGUCAGAAGCAGGAAGCUGCUGAUUCUACUCAUCAAGUUUCUGCUUAUUCUGCUCAGCAAGUUGCUGCUGAUUCUGCUCAGCAAGUUGCUGCAGUCAGAGAUGAAGGUGUACCUUAGAGCGGGGAUGACAUCUGGUAAUUUGAAUGGUUUCAGUUCCGUCUCAGAGCGGGGAACUUACAACCCGAGGAUGUUCUAAUGCCAAGAGGUAUGCCUGAUAGAUUUGGAGUUCCAGCUACUUAUGAUCAGUCAAGUGCACAAAAGCGUAGUACAGAUUAUAACCAGUCACCACCCACACGUUCACAAGGGGCAGCUCUAACUCAAAAGUUCCUUCAGAAAAGUCUGAAGAACGCCUUAGGGAUAUGUCCCUUGUGAGUAAUUAAAGAAUUUUACGGGUCAACGCCAGAGAUAUUUUCAGUACCGCUGUUAUCGCACACUCACAGUUCCAGGCUCACCAAAACUAUUUCAGCAUUAUGCUUUGAUCCUAGUGGCACACUUUUGGUGUCUGCUUCGGUUCAGGGGCAUAACAUCGAUGUUUUUUAACAUAAUGCCUGGCCCUCCUGGAGUCUCCUCUUCAACUGAUGCUAAUGCAUCUCAUGUACGUCUUUACAGGCUACAGCACGGAAUGACAAAUGCAAUUAUUCAGGACGUUAGUUUCAGUGACGACAGCAACUGAAUCUUGGUUAGUUCCUCGACGUGGACCAGCCAUCUGUUUGCUAUAAAUCCUUGGGGAGGAACAGUUGAUAUUCCAAUUUUCUGAUGCUAGCCUUUAAUCCAAACAAUACUGUAUCAGGUGUUACAACUAGAUCAGCAGUUUGUUGGCCACCUAAUUCAAGUUCACAAAUGCCUAAUCAGCAGAGCCGUGUUCAUCUGGUCCCCCAGUUACACUUCCUGUUUGACUAUCUCCGGACUCACAGUGUUCCAACAAAGAAGGGUUGCUGCUAUGAAUAGCAAUAUCAGUGGCCAACUUCUUCAGAGGUCUGUGAUAUCUGAAAAUGGCAGGCUUUCAUGCACAAGCAGUUCAAACUCACCUGAUACCAUGACUGACAGAGGUGCCGGACUUGCAGAACAACACAAUGGUAGUGAAGAAACGGGGUGGGGUCUUCUUCAGAUGACAACAGGAAGCAGGGAUCCGUAAAAUAACAAUGACAGCCCAUAGACAAAGACGCAGUUUUAAAUAGUAGAAGACCAGCUUUAAAAUGGAGGUUCAACUCAAGUUUGUAAAUAGUGACAUGGGAAUGGUGAAUCAUUUUAAAAAGGGAGGUGAUGAGUAUGAUUAGAGAUAUGUCUAUCUUACUAAUGUAGAUUAGUUGGGGGAAUUUUCAUUGGGGUUGGAAGUAAUGUUGUAACUAGAUUUCUGUAGUUUGUAGAUUCUUGGUCGGCGCUUAUAGUUAUUCAUCUGCAGAAAUGAUGUCCAUUUAUCGCAUAACUUUCUUUUAUGUUGUCAAAAUUUGGACCAUAGUUGUCCAUCGAUGUUAUUUUGAUGUCGCUAUCUGUCUGUAUUAUUGUC